GGGUCACACAAUGCUGCCCAUUCGUUGGAUGCCUCCAGAAAGUAUCAUGUACAGGAAGUUCACCACAGAAAGCGAUGUGUGGAGCCUAGGGGUCGUAUUAUGGGAAAUCUUUACCUAUGGCAAACAGCCGUGGUAUCAGCUCUCAAACAAUGAGGUGAUUGAGUGCAUCACUCAGGGUCAAGUCCUGCAGCGACCUUGCACGUGCCCCAAGGAAAUAUAUGAGUUGAUGCUGGGCUGUUGGCAAAGGGAGUCUCACAUUAGGCUCAACAUCAGAGAAAUCCAUUCCUUCCUCCAGAACUUGGCCAAGACUUCUCCACUCUACCUGGAUAUUUUGGGCUAAAUCAUCCUAGUAUUUCUUCUUAUGGUCUACGUGAAUUAAUGUGUUCGCUGCCACUGAACUCCAUUAAAAUGUGUUCAUAACUUUGACAGUAUUAAUGACAAAGAUGUGGAGAAGCUUUCAAAGGGCAAGCAGUGUGCACUUCUCCAUCUGUAGGCACAGUAUUGACUUUUUAGACAAUACUGAAAUGUAUCUUCAUUCUCAAUUUCUCAAUUUUUCCUCUCUCCUUUCUUUCUAAUCAAUUUGGCUUCUGCAUUAUUGUAUCUCUGCAUAGAAAAAGGUCUUAAAAACCUGCUUUGUUAUAUCAGCAGACUCUCCAGUUAAUCCACCACAACUAACAAUGCCUUGUUGUAUUCAUACCUUUGAUGUGGAUGAAAAAAGGGAAAAAUAUAUUUUACUCAAACUUUGUGAUUUCUGCUGUACGGAUACCGGGAGUCUCUUUGUAUUCACCUCAUUUUUUUAUUUUUAUUUUUUUGCUUCAGCAUGUGGGUGGAAAAAGGAAGCAUAUUUCUUGCCGAGUCAAAGACAGAUAGAAUGAAAACAGAACUGUGUUUUCCACUAUCUGGAGGAACUAUGGGAUCAGAUGGCAUCUAACCCCACAAAAACUGAAACAAAACAAAAAACUGAAACAAUUACAUGAAAGGCAAGAGGAACUUUUAUUGGAGAAUCUUUCUGAGGAGUAAAGGGAUUAUUCAAGGAGGUGCACGGCCAGCAUUUUUCAUUGCCAGAUACAAGUUUAUUAUAAGGGAAAAAGAUAUCCCUGGUACUACACAGAAUUAUGUUACAAAAUGAUGAACAAAACACAUACCCCUAUUAUAUCUUCUUGUAGGAUAUUGCCGUGCUACUGGUAAAAAAAUAUUCUACACCUAGUUUUUGGUAAUAAAGGCUGAAGCUAAGCUUAUUAAUGUGCAAGAUUAAUUUCAGGAUUAAAUGUUUAAACUAAUGAUAAAAUAGAAUAAACUACAGAUGUUGGAGUAGGCGUAUCUUAUACUGUGCUUGUCCAGAAGCAUAUUCCUUCCUUCCUCAAUACGUUUUUUUUCAAUUGUGCAAGCAAAACUGUACAUGGUCUGUGUUGAUUAAUGGCCUUUGUGCAGAAAUUAAUCUCUUAUCUUGUAGUACAGCCUUGUAGGCAUAGCUAACUCGUAAUAGCAUAAUUUAUAUUUAAUUGGAAGGGGCUAAUGGAAGAUAUAUAUACAGUGCUACAGAUAGAAUAGGUUGAUAUUACAUAAAUAAUCUAAAGCACAGAGAUCACUGUCUAUGUUUGAGCCAUGUUGGCGGAUAGAGUGAGAUCCCUGGAGAAAACAAAUAUGAUUCUGAGGUUAUGGCUUCCUAUUUGGAGUUCAAAGACCUUUAGUUCAGUAUCAUGUUUAUAUUGGUACUAGUGCUGUCACUCCCAACAUCCACUCUUUUAAAAAUUAUUUCUUUUGGAUUGGAUGGGCAUUGUGCAUGUACAGCAUUUGCAUGGCCACUGUGUUGGUUACAAAUGCAUGGGCAUAUCUGUUAUUUUUUCAAACUGGAAGUUGAAGUUUUCAAAUUUAGAGGAAGGAUUAUUUUUAAUAUGAAUUCUUACAAAUUAAAACCUACUUUAUCUAGGUCGCAAGACUUUUGCCUCCCUCUGUGAGGGGGCAUUGUUGCAAAAAAAA